rnacentral:rRNA from 1 species
GUGUCAGCAGCCGCGGUAAUACGUAGGGGGCUAGCGUUGUCCGGAAUCAUUGGGCGUAAAGCGCGUGUAGGCGGCCCGAUAAGUCCGCUGUGAAAGUCCAGGGCUCAACCCUGGGAUGCCGGUGGAUACUGUCGGGCUCGAGUCCGGAAGAGGCGAGUGGAAUUCCUGGUGUAGCGGUGAAAUGCGCAGAUAUCAGGAGGAACACCAAUGGCGAAGGCAGCUCGCUGGGACGUGACUGACGCUGAGACGCGAAAGCGUGGGGAGCAAACAGGAUUAGAUACCCUCGUAGUCC